rnacentral:rRNA from 1 species
GUUGCCAGCCCGCUCAGAAACUUAAAUGAAUUGACGGGGCCCGGCACAAGCGGAGGAGCAUGUGGUUUAAUUCGAUGAUACGCGAGGAACUUACCUGGGCUCGAACGUAAGAUGACUGUAGGUGAAAGCUUACAUCUCUUCGGAGCAUUUUACGAGGUGCUGCAUGGUUGUCGUCAGCUCGUGCCGUGAGGUGUCGGGUUAAGUCCCAUAACGAGCGCAACCCCUACCUUUAGUUGCCAUCAGGUAAUGCUGGGGACUCUAAAGGAACUGCCUACGCAAGUAGUGAGGAAGCGGGGAUGACGUCAAAUCAGCACGGCCCUUACGUCCAGGGCUACACACGUGCUACAAUGGCCGAUACAGAGGGCAGCUACCUGGUGACAGGAUGCAAAUCUCCAAAGUCGGUCUCAGUUCGGAUCGGAGUCUGCAACCCGACUCCGUGAAGUUGGAUUCGCUAGUAAUCGCGCAUCAGCCAUGGCGCGGUGAAUACGUUCCCGGGCCUU